UGGCAGCGGCGGCGGGUC
rnacentral:misc_RNA from 1 species